rnacentral:rRNA from 1 species
GACGAACGCUGGCGGCGUGCUUAACACAUGCAAGUCGAGCGGUAAGGCCCUUUCGGGGGUACACGAGCGGCGAACGGGUGAGUAACACGUGGGUGACCUGCCCUCAGCUCUGGGAUAAGCCUGGGAAACCGGGUCUAAUACUGGAUAUGACUCCAUGACGCAUGUUGUGGGGUGGAAAGCCUUGUGCGGCUGAGGAUGGGCCCGCGGCCUAUCAGCUUGUUGGUGGGGUGANGGCCUACCAAGGCGACGACGGGUAGCCGGCCUGAGAGGGCGACCGGCCACACUGGGACUGAGACACGGCCCAGACUCCUACGGGAGGCAGCAGUGGGGAACCUUGCGCAAUGGGCGAAAGCCUGACGCAGCGACGCCGC